GAUGAACGCUAGCGGCAGGCUUAACACAUGCAAGUCGAGGGGUAUAGGUUUUCGGACCUAGAGACCGGCGCACGGGUGCGUAACGCGUAUGCAAUCUACCUUUUACAGCGGGAUAGCCCAGAGAAAUUUGGAUUAAUACCUCAUAGUAUGCAGAGUUGGCAUCAACACUGCAUUAAAGUCACAACGGUAAAGAUGAGCAUGCGUCCCAUUAGCUAGUUGGUAAGGUAACGGCUUACCAAGGCGACGAUGGGUAGGGGUCCUGAGAGGGAGAUCCCCCACACUGGUACUGAGACACGGACCAGACUCCUACGGGAGGCAG
rnacentral:rRNA from 1 species